GCAAUCAUAGCUCAGUGGCAGAGCACUGGUCUUGUAAACCAUGGUUCGAUGCUCAAUGGUAACUUUGCA